GAAGUACCUAGUCCAAGGUUCCCAUGGUGGCAGUCUAAGCUUGAUCUCCAGAUAUGCUCAUGGCUGGACUGCUUGGGUGACAGAUUCGCUUAAAUAUGAGAGCAGACCUGAUCACUCAGAAGGACAAGGAGGAGCUGAUUUUAUUUAUUUAUCUGAGAGAGAAUGAG